AAAAAGUUUACAACAGACUCCGAGAUAAAUCUACUGGGAAAUCAAUGAAAAAUGGAAAAAAGACUGCCAAGUUGGGAAUAUCAUAACCAUGUUCUAAGAAGAGCCACAUCUAGAAAUGAUUAUUCCCUAAAUGAUUUGGCAAAAAAAAGCCGACUUACAUGCUUUAGGUGCAAGUGUGCUUGACUGGCAAUGUCAUAUAUUACAUCUCUCACAUUUUUAUCUUGGUUCCUCCGUAGAAAGUCCUCUUGUGAAACACCAUGCUGUGUGGGGAAAUAUACAUUAUAUUAGGAACCUAAAAGCACUUCCUUCCAACAGUUCACCUAGGAAAGAAAAUUAAACUAACAAUUAAAACUAACUUAGCACAAGAGAACACGUGACAGAACAGUAUGUACAGUUUAAUGCCUAUUUUGUCUUUAGAAAUGUAUGUGAGCACGUGCGUGUGUGUGCAUGUGUGGAGAGAGAGAAAAAAAAACAAAAAUGAGAGAGUGACACCUGGAACAUGCAACAAGAUUUUUUGUUUUUUGAGACAGGGUCUUACUCUGUCACCCAGGCUGAAGCUGUAAUGGCUGUAGAUCCUUGAUUAUAAAAUAUAGCUCUGAUUCAGAAGGAAAUCGGAGACCAAGGUAAAAAAGUAAAUAUUUUAAAGAAGUUGGAAAUCUGCUGAAUGAAGUGUGAACUCUGGAAACUGAAGCCAAAUAGAAGAAAGACCUUGGUUAUAAACAUAAAUUCAAACUGCAGCUAAAAUUCAUACAGAGAAAU
rnacentral:lncRNA from 1 species